rnacentral:rRNA from 1 species
AGAGUUUGAUCAUGGCUCAGGAUGAACGCUAGCUACAGGCUUAACACAUGCAAGUCGAGGGGCAGCAUGGACUCAGCUUUGCUGAGUUUGAUGGCGACCGGCGCACGGGUGAGUAACGCGUAUCCAACCUGCCCUUUACUCCGGGAUAGUCUCCUGAAAGGGAGUUUAAUACCGGAUGUGUUUGUUUUUCCGCAUGGGAGCGACAAAUAAAGAUUAAUUGGUAAAGGAUGGGGAUGCGUCCCAUUAGCUUGUUGGCGGGGUAACGGCCCACCAAGGCAACGAUGGGGUAGGGGUUCUGGAGAGGAAGGUCCCCCACAUUGGAACUGAGACACGGUCCAAACUCCUACGGGAGGCA